AUGUAUGAUUGUGUAGCAGUGAUUUUUGUUGAAGUAUUCAUGUCCAACUGUGCCAAAUGUGACAUCCAGAUGACCCAGACUCCAUCCUCCCUGUCUGCAUCUCCAGGAGACACAGUCACCAUCAAUUGCAGGUCCAGUCAGGGCAUUAAUAAGUAUUUAGUCUGGUUUCAGCAGAAACCAGGGAAAGCUCCUAAGCGGCUGAUAUACAAAGCAUCUAAUUUAGGAUCAGGUGUCCCAUCCAGGUUCAGUGGCAGUGGAUCUGGGACAGAUUACUCUCUUACUAUCAGCAGACUGCAGGCUGAAGAUUUUGCCACUUAUUACUGUAUGCAGUAUGAUGAGUUUCCUCCCACAGUGAUAGAAGUCAUAACAUAA